CUCUAGAUUCUGCUAUCCCCGUACCGUUCUCUUUUCGAUUCCGUUGAUUUGGUUAUUCUCUCAAGUUGAGCUCCCUUCUACAGGCGUUGUUAUGGUGGAGUGAGAAUCAGCGACGCUUCAGUUGGUGCAAAACGACGUGCAGGACCGAGUGUGGUAGACAUCUAUGAUAUCGACAUGAUGGCGUUAGAGACUCUCUCUCAACCACCAAUCAAUCGUAUUGAUUUGAGCGGUGAGUGGGAUGGUAACCCAGGAAGCGAAAUUGCUCUACACGCGAAGAUCGAGUUCAUCUCUGCGCCAAAUACAAGAUUACCUCUGCUUGACUUGAGCAAUGGUGUUGAGUUGUUACAUUAUGAUGGCCCGACCGAGAUGCCGGAGGAUUGCCCCUAUCACCUUG
rnacentral:sRNA from 1 species